AACAACAGACAGUACACGUUCGCAAGCCGUGUAGUUCGACACGAGAAAACGAUCUUUUUGCUUGUGUAUCAAUCCUCGCGCAAAGUUAUACGAAGUUACAUUUCUACGACACGUGGGACGACGAUCCUCUUCGUCGUCUUCUCUUCUCGUCGUCGUAGUCGUAGUUGUCGUCGUGGGUUUCUAUAUAAAUCCUCGUGAACUCACUGGUUUCUCCGAGUAGUUCGCCAUCGGCAAACAGUUCGCACGGAUCAUUCUCUACGAGUAUAUAAGUGAUAUACAUACAUAUAUACAUACAAAUACUUCAUUUUGCGGUUUAUAUACGUGUGUUCCUCAUUGUAUAUUUGUGUGUAUCGUUUUAAUUAUAGUAUAGGUAUUUGAUAAAGUUUUUAAAAUUCGUGACAAUUAAACAACAAAAGUGAAGUGUUCGAAGGACAAAAAAUAUAAAAUAAAAA
rnacentral:lncRNA from 1 species